rnacentral:rRNA from 1 species
UACGAAGGGGGCUAGCGUUGCUCGGAUUGACUGGGCGUAAAGGGCGCGUAGGCGGUUUGUACAGUCAGACGUGAAAUUCCUGGGCUCAACCUGGGGGCUGCGUUUGAUACGUAUGGACUUGAGUUCGGAAGAGGGUCGUGGAAUUCCCAGUGUAGAGGUGAAAUUCGUAGAUAUUGGGAAGAACACCGGUGGCGAAGGCGGCGACCUGGUCCGAUACUGACGCUGAGGCGCGAAAGCGUGGGGAG